GUGUUAUUCACAAUCCUUUAAAGAAAAAACUUAUUUAUAAGUAGUGUGACCAGGUAACAACCUCCAGUAUUUUCUAUAUAUCUUAUAGUAGCAACUGGAAAAUAAAGAAUAGAUAUACACUUUCACACACCAACAACAGUUUUUCUUUGAAAUCUAAGUCCUUUGGCAAAACUAUAGCUCAGAAAUCAGUCAUAACUGUUAAACACAUUUUGUAAAUCAAUUUUCUGACUUGUUUAUAAAAAGUUAGAAUUUUUCC
rnacentral:lncRNA from 1 species